CCCGGGGAUAACAGGCUGAUCGCCACCGAGAGUUCACAUCGACGUGGCGGUUUGGCACCUCGAUGUCGGCUCAAUGCAUCCUGGGGCUGAACAAGGUCCCAAGGGUUCGGCUGUUCGCCGAUUAAAGCGUUACGCGAGCUGGGUUUAGAACGUCGUGAGACAGUUCGGUCCCUAUCCUCCACGGGUGUAGGAAGCUUGAGGGGAUCUGUCUUCAGUACGAGAGGACCGAGACGGACGCACCUCUAGUGUACCAGUUGUCCCGCCAGGGGCACCGCUGGGUAGCUACGUGCGGACCAGGAUAAGCGCUGAAAGCAUCUAAGUGCGAAACCGGCCCCAAAACUAGGCUUCCCGACCGAAAGGUCCUCAAGGCCACUCGGAGAUUACGAGUUUGAUAGGCCGCAGGUGUAAGCACAGUAAUGUGUUCAGCCGAGCGGUACUAAUCGGCCGUGCGGCUUCAUUA
rnacentral:rRNA from 1 species